rnacentral:tRNA from 1 species
AUCGUGUUAGUUUAAACCAAAACGUUGAAUUGUGAUUUCAAAAAUUCUACAUGGUA